rnacentral:rRNA from 1 species
UACGUAGGCAGCGAGCGUUGUUCGGAGUUACUGGGCGUAAAGGGUGCGUAGGCGGCUGUUUAAGUUUGGUGUGAAAUCUCCCGGCUCAACUGGGAGGGUGCGCCGAAUACUGAAUGACUAGAGUGCGGGAGAGGAGAGUGGAAUUCCUGGUGUAGCGGUGAAAUGCGUAGAUAUCAGGAGGAACACCGGUGGUGUAGACGGCUCUCUGGACCGUAACUGACGCUGAGGCGCGAAAGCUAGGGGAGCAAACAGG